UACGUAGGGUGCGAGCGUUGUCCGGAAUUAUUGGGCGUAAAGAGCUUGUAGGCGGUCUGUCGCGUCUGCUGUGAAAAUCCGGGGCUCAACCCCGGACUUGCAGUGGGUACGGGCAGACUAGAGUGUGGUAGGGGAGACUGGAAUUCCUGGUGUAGCGGUGAAAUGCGCAGAUAUCAGGAGGAACACCGAUGGCGAAGGCAGCUCUCUGGGACGGUACUGACGCUGAGACGCGAAAGCGUGGGGAGCGAACAGG
rnacentral:rRNA from 1 species